UACGAAGGGGGCUAGCGUUGCUCGGAAUCACUGGGCGUAAAGCGCACGUAGGCGGACUCUUAAGUCGGUGGUGAAAUCCUGGAGCUCAACUCCAGAACUGCCUUCGAUACUGAGAGUCUCGAGUCCGGGAGAGGUGAGUGGAACUGCGGAGUGUAGAGGUGAAAUUCGUAGAUAUUCGCAAGAACACCAGUGGCGAAGGCGGCUCACUGGCCCGGUACUGACGCUGAGGAGCGGAAAGC
rnacentral:rRNA from 1 species